GGAGGUAUAGCUCAGUGGUAGUGCACAUGCAUAGCAUGUGUGAGGUCCUGGGUUCAAUCCCCAGUACCUCCA
rnacentral:tRNA from 1 species